AGCGAACGCUGGCGGCAGGCUUAACACAUGCAAGUCGAACGGGCUUCUUCGGAAGUCAGUGGCAGACGGGUGCGUAACACGUGGGAACGUGCCCUUCGGUUCGGAAUAACUCAGGGAAACUUGAGCUAAUACCGGAUACGCCCUUAUGGGGAAAGGUUUACUGCCGAAGGAUCGGCCCGCGUCUGAUUAGCUUGUUGGUGGGGUAACGGCCUACCAAGGCGACGAUCAGUAGCUGGUCUGAGAGGAUGAUCAGCCACACUGGGACUGAGACACGGCCCAGACUCCUACGGGAGGCAGCAGUGGGGAAUAUUGGACAAUGGGCGCAAGCCUGAUCCAGCCAUGCCGCGUGAGUGAUGAAGGCCUUAGGGUUGUAAAGCUCUUUUGUCCGGGACGAUAAUGACGGUACCGGAAGAAUAAGCCCCGGCUAACUUCGUG
rnacentral:rRNA from 1 species